AACAAAAAAAACAAAAAAAUAGUGCUGUGUCCGCCAUUCUGCCAGUGCCGUCAAAGUUGGCUUUUCUUCCACAAGGUGACGGAGGUGGUGUGUUGUAAUGGGGGGAGCGCUGGCCUCAGAAUAUGGACCGUGUGAUUUGGGCACAUCCCCUAAAAGCUGGGGGCCCUGGAACCAGUCCCCCGCAGGUACUGAGGGAUGACUGUGUUUGGGAAAGAGGAAUUAGGAGCUCUUUUGAGAGGCAGGGAUGGGGAAGAAAACUUCUGUUUUGUCACCCAUAGGCGGACUCACAUUGGGACUCCGAGGAAACUGGAGAAAGGACUUACCGCUGGCGUCUUCCCAAAGGACGUCCUGAAGAAACUUCCCCAGGGUCUGGCCGUGCUGGUGGGACUGAGCCCCUGACAGCUUGAUCCCAACGUCAAAGGGGGCGCUGAACUAGGAGGACCCAGGAAUUGUCAGAGGUCACACCCUCCCUAAAUACUCAUUUCCGCUCCACCCCUGUGGCUCAUGCGGGUGGUUGGAUGACCCCAGCCGACUUUGCAGCACCACGAGCACCAAGCUGGGGACCUGCUGGGCUGGUUUGCACCCUGGAACCAGCGACGGGCAACUGACGGGAGUCGCAGCAGCUGUUGGAUAGGGGUGCGGCUUUGAGCAACUUGAAAAGGUGCCUUAGUGUCUCAUGUGGUCAGUGGGGGAUGGGUGGAACUUGGCCUCGAAAGCUUCCAGCUCUGAAACUUGAUUGAUUUCAGGAAAACUUUUGGAGGGGGUGUAGGGGCCUGGGAUGAGUGAGGUGGGACCCUGGCCCUGGAGGGGUUCGGGGGGCACAGCCAGAGCUCUGUGGCCUGUGUCACAGGCCUCCCACCUGCCUCUGGCGUCUCACCACCUCCGACAUUUCAGACUCCUGGUUCUAGCGGAGGUAGGGCCUGCCGUUUGCUCUGUGGAAACUGGAAACGUCCAGCCGUGAGUCAUCAGCCACUGGAACCUCUUCCCCGCCUGGGCUAACUUAGGGCGUCUCUGGCCCCACUGGACCUGGGGGUCUCACCGGGAAAGUUCCCUGGUUUAGUCUAAGGAUUUGCAGGCUGAUGAGUGGGAACGUGGCGGGUGGGGUCGCACAUGUGGUGGAGGAGGCGCCUGGCGAGGGUCAGAGGGCGAGGGUUGGGGAUUUGACCCCUGAGGGGAGGAGAGGCUGGGGGUGGGUGGAGGCAGGCCAAGGCAGGGCAGAGGAGACUUCCUGGGCCACCUGCUCGCUCUCUGCCAGACGGGUGCUGGGGACACAGGGCUUGGGGACUGGAGUCCCCCAGACUGUGGGUCCCACCUCUUCCCCAUGCAGGGCUGUGGCCCCUCAGCCCAGUGAGCUCCCUCGGCUGAACCUCGGUUCCUCAUCUCUAAAUGAGGGCACAGAAACCAGCCCCACUGACUUCACAGGUGGUUGUAGAGGUUAAAUGCGAAGCAGGAGGGUAAAGCAGCCGGAGAGCGAGACCGCAGUUACUAACAGUAGUUACUAGGCACCACCCGGGGAUUCUGGUUUCCCUGCGUGCGGGGAUCUGUCCUCACCUAAACUCUUGUCAGAACCAUUCCCUGGACCGCGGCUGCCCAGCAGGGGUAACUAUAAAACGCCUUCACGCUUUCUCUCUCGUAGUCCUCCGUUUCUCUCUAAGUGGCUCCCCUGCCCCGUGAACUAUUCAUCAAAGCUCAAGCAAGCCUGAUGAGCCCCAUCCUCGUCUACAGGUGGGGGUUUGGUGAGAGCUGGGCUCACCGCUCACCUGUCCAGGCCGCCGCCUGGUAAGAUUGGGUAAGCCAGGUUCUGAGAGGGAGCAGAGUGCCCUGGGGGCAGGAGAGCCGGGACCUGGUGCUGCCACAGGUGACCACACACAGAUUGGCCUUACGCAGAUCACUGAGCGUCCCCCUGCUCACGGCUGCCUCUCACAGGGGCUUGAGGAUUAACUGAGGUGAUGGGUGUGAAAUCCUUUGUAACCUGUCAAGUACCGCGCAGGUGACAACUGUUUUUUGUACCCUGGCCAGCCUUUGCCACGUCAGAUGUUCGCGGACGAAGAGCGCAUCAACCACGUGGGGGAUUCCUUACGCGCCCGCAGCGGCUCAUCCCACAGGAUGCCCAGGGUCCUAUUUUUUCUGCUACUGAAAGAGGAGUGUUGAGAUCUCCAGCUGGAAUUGUAACUGACUUCAGUUCUGACUCGACCCAGUGCCCUUUGUAUCCUGAGGCUGUUGCACUCUGGUUCUUGGGAACGUGAACUACUCGCCCUCUGUUGAGUUCCAGGAAUUGCUUGGCCCACUGCUGUUUGGUCACGAGAGUUUCACCCUUCCCAUAAGCAGGGAUUCUGCUGCUGAAAAAUGGACAAAGAACAGGCACAAGAGGGGUCCACACUUAGCUGUGCACAGAACCUCCUGCAGUGAGCGGCCUGACCUUUCUUUGGUGUGUGCGCACAUAAAGGCCCGGCGUGAGCUCCACUCCUCGAUUACGGCUGAGGAGCCCCAGCACCAGGUCGCGGAUUCCAGCCUUGAGAGUUCUGAUUUCUGAGCUGAGACGGAUUAGGAUGUCAACGCUGCCUCUGGCACGUGGCGGUGGACAGCCCAGGGCGGCUCUUGACCUUCUUGCCAGUUUCCUCACCAGUAAGUCAGGGGUAUGCGCCUACACAGGUUUUCUGUGCUGCUUCACUCAGGUCUCAGUAAAUCCCAGCUACUGCUGCGACUGCUGCUUCAGGUCAGUGUCCCAGGGCCUCUGGUGAAAGGUGAUCCUUGGUUCAGGGUUGCUUAGGACCAGAACCAUGCUUUGCAUACUCUGUGCUCUAAACUGUCAGUCCCACAACAGGCCAGCCUCGGAACCCAGACUUCUUAGGCUCCAGGGAUGUGAUAAUAGCCUAGAUUGCCGUGGCCUGAGGGGAGUUUAUUAGGCAUUUUUUCCGUUUUUUAAUUUAAUUUUUAUUUCAUUUUAAAGUAUAGUUGAUUUUCAGUGUUGUGUUUAUUUGAGGUGUAGAGCAAUGUGAUUCAGUAUACACACAUAACUGUGCUCACUUGGACUCUUCUCCCAUAUAGGUUGUGACAGAGUGCUGAGUAGAAUUCCCUGUGCGCUACAAUAUUUCCUUCUUAAUUAUCGGUUUUAUGAAUA